rnacentral:rRNA from 1 species
AAGGGUGAAAUCAAUUAUGUUUAAAAAUGAAAUUAACUUGACUUGAGGCUGAUUUUUUUAGAGUUGGACUAGGAUUAGAUACCCUAUUACACUAAAAGGUAAAAUAUAUAAUAACCUAAUUAUUUAUAGAUAUGUUCUUGAAAUUUGAAGAAUUUGGCGGUAAUUUAGUCUUGUCAGAGGAAUUUGUUUUUUAAUCGAUAAACCACGUAAAAUCUUGCUUGAGCUUAUAUACCAUCAUUAACAGAUAAUCUUAAAAGAAAGAUAAUUAUUAAGAUUUAUAGACAAUUAAAAUUAGAUCAAGGUGUAGCUAAUAAAUGAGUUAAAAUGAAUUACAAUAAAUUUUAUUUAUACGGAUUAAUUAAGAUAAAGGUGGAUUUGAUUGUAAUGUAAGUUUAAUAAGCUUUAAAGAUAUAAGUUCUAAAUUAUGUACAUAUCGCCCGUCGCUUUC